UAUUUGUACAUUAUCAUACUUUGAUUGCAAUAUGUGUCCCAUCAACUGCCACCAGCACGUUUGGAAAUCCAUUUCAAAAAAUUGCUGUUACAGAGUGCAUUUGUAACAUCUCUGACCACUCGGCUAACGGAUGAUUGGCUCACACCCAGGGUGCCCCCCACCACCAUUUGAAAAGACCCAGAGGCAAAAAAUCUCAGGGCAGCCAUAAUUUGCGUUACAACUUGAAGGGGUGACGAUCGCCUUGUUUUCCUUUUCAGGUCAUUUGAUAGCAUAUCUGCCAAAUAAAUAAUUGCAGGCCUACACAGCAAAACUACGGGUGUUAAUUUUUCAGUGUUGGUGUUAAUCAACAGGGUGCAGUGUUAUUUUAACACUGAAUUGAUCAUAAUGUACACCAGGAGAGUUUUUUGAUGAAAGUGUUGGUGUAGAUUUCGGUCGUUAGGGGAUUCUCACACCGUGAGUGUUGAUUUGACCACACCCCCACAUUUCCGGCAAAGAAGCGCCAUCCAGAGAUGAUCCAGAACUUUCGGUAGCCAUCUAUAUAACCGCUGUGGUAAGUUAAACUUGGUUAGGGUUAAUGUUGUGCGGUUGAUAAACGCUUAAAUAAUUCGAAAAACGUAGUUUGUUUGCUAUUGUAUGGAUAUAUGCUGUCUGUUACUUUCUAAUCCCAUUUUAAAUAGAUUUUUGUCGAACUGGCGAUUGCUAGCAUAAACUUGGUAAAGAUGGUAGCUAAUUUUCACUCCGGCUGUCGAGAGUAUAAUAUCAGUAAUAUCUGCAAUUUUUUUUUUAUUAAAUGUGCUUGUCUUUCUUUUUACUCGCAAACAUCGAAAAUAUAAGUUUCACUUUGACGAAUAAACUGAGGAGAGCCGGAGAGGGUGGGCACUGGGCACAGUCGAGGAAGGAGAGGACAGGUGAGUUUUCGCUAUCACUCAUAAGGAGAAGUUAAUAAUACCUAGUAUCUUUUUGAAAUUAAGGGAGUAGUAUAUGUAGAUAGAUUUAUGCUUAGUCAUAGCCGCAACAAACUCCGGUAGUUGUUAUCUCAAUGCUGGAGUUACACAGUGCAGUUGGCCCGCUGCGGCCACGACUGCCAGCCUUCACCAACGCGUGCUGCACGCGGUGCGGUAUAGGAGGUCUGCCUGGACCUGCUCCACGGUGCGGGUUAUCUCAUACCGGUGCGGUAUGAGAUAACCCGACGGCGUGUAGCCGUGAACUACGCUCGUAGAAACUGUGGAGACAUGCUGGUUCCUGUCGAAUAUAAGGGGGUGAGCAAAUGAGUCAGGGUACCAAAGGUGGAGGAGGUCUUCAGUUUCUCUGAAUUUUUACAAGGAGUGCUGGCAAAAUUCAAUUUGUCAGGUUUUACUGCUUUGAUGCUCAAGGAUUCUGCAGGAGUUGAAGUGGAUUCUGACAUCUUUGAUGAGCUUUUGAAGUCAUCUCAGGUGUCUUUCAAGGCCUUCACUGAAGAUUGCAAUGACAACAGUGUUGGAGAGUCUUCAGAGGGCUCAUCCUUAUCUGAUUGGUCACCAUCACGUGCAUCCCAUGGGGCAUCAACAAUUACAGCUCAAAGAAAACGGCUGAUUGAAGGACCCCCUGACAGCAGCAGUGCUCGCGAUAUUGUCAAUGCAGCCCUGCAUUCAAAGCCGGACGGUGACCAAAUAAUCACAGAAUACGAGAAAACAAAGAGUCUGUCGGAUGGUACAAGAAGAAGGAUGAUCAACAUACUUGUGGCUGACAUGGUAGAGAGCCAUGGGAGGAUCCCUCCUGUAAAUAUCCGCAGUACGUACGCACUUGGCCAUUACAACCUUGUUCCCAAAUUUGAAGGACCCGGAUUCAAAGAAUGGUUAUGAGCAUUUCUAUGAUCACCAGAGUGGUUCUGGUUACCUGGCAUGGAGGCUGAAAACUGUGCAGCGCAACUCUGCCCAAGAGAUCAAGAAAUCAAGGUCCAGCUUUCAGGAUGGCCCUAAGACUCAGCGCAGCAUGCAUUCACCUGUGAGACAGUUGUCAGGUGAUGAAUGCAAUGAAGCUAUAUCAGUGAUGAGGCACUCAAGUGACACAAACCCUCGUCCAAGAAAAAAUGAAGGCAACAUUUCGGAAAAGACAAAAGGUUGUUCAAGACCCAGCCACAGCUUCCACUGUCCUAGACCUUUUUCCAAGAUUCCUCGACACACC